rnacentral:rRNA from 1 species
AGUGAACGCUGGCGGUAGGCCUAACACAUGCAAGUUGAACGGCAGCACAGUAAGAGCUUGCUCUUACGGGUGGCGAGUGGCGGACGGGUGAGGAAUACAUCGGAAUCUACUUUUUCGUGGGGGAUAACGUAGGGAAACUUACGCUAAUACCGCAUACGACCUACGGGUGAAAGCAGGGGAUCUUCGGACCUUGCGCGAUUGAAGGAGCCGAUGUCGGAUUAGCUAGUUGGCGGGGUAAAGGCCCACCAAGGCGACGAUCCGUAGCUGGUCUGAGAGGAUGAUCAGCCACACUGGAACUGAGACACGGUCCAGACUCCUACGGGAGGCAGCAGUGGGGAAUAUUGGACAAUGGGCGCAAGCCUGAUCCAGCCAUACCGCGUGGGUGAAGAAGGCCUUCGGGUUGUAAAGCCCUUUUGUUGGGAAAGAAAAGCAGCAGGUUAAUACCCCGCUGUUCUGACGGUACCCAAAGAAUAAGCACCGGCUAACUUCGUG